UACGUAGGGUGCGAGCGUUGUCCGGAAUUAUUGGGCGUAAAGAGCUUGUAGGCGGUUUGUCGCGUCUGCUGUGAAAAUCCGGGGCUCAACCCCGGACUUGCAGUGGGUACGGGCAGGCUCGAGUUCGGUAGGGGAGACUGGAAUUCCUGGUGUAGCGGUGAAAUGCGCAGAUAUCAGGAGGAAGACCGGUGGCGAAGGCGGCCUGCUGGGCAGUUACUGACACUGAGGCGCGACAGCGUGGGGGAGCAAACAGG
rnacentral:rRNA from 1 species